UACGGAGGGGGCAAGCGUUGUUCGGAUUUACUGGGCGUAAAGGGUGUGUAAGCGGCUGAACAAGUCUGGUGUGAAAUCUUCACCGCUCAACGGGAAGGGGUCACUGGAAACUGUUCAGCUUGAGUAUGGUAGAGGCAAGCGGAAUUCCUGGUGUAGCGGUGAAAUGCGUAGAUAUCAAGAGGAACACCUGAGGUAAAGACGGGUUGCUGGGCUGACACUGACGCUGAGGCGCGAAAGCUAGGGUAGCAAACGGG
rnacentral:rRNA from 1 species